rnacentral:lncRNA from 1 species
UUCAAACAUAUGACUGUCAGAGUGUGCUACCUUUGACUACUUCUUGGUAGAGGUGGUCACAUCCUGUGUUCAGGAUGAUGCCACAUUUAAACCCAAGAUAAUUUUUCAACCAAUGAAACAGAUCUCCUCUAUAAUCUAUAAAAUACAGUUGUUUCUCUGUAUCCAUGGGGUACUGAUUCAAGAAAUGCCCAUGGAUGCCCAAACUGCAACAACUCUGGUCUCUUGUUAGAAAGGUUUACUGUUUGCAUAUAACUAGACCUGUCCUCCUGCAUGACUCAUCUAUACAGCACCAGGAAAGACUCACAGAAGGCUUAGUGCUCUGCAAAUGGCUGCUACACUGUACUGUUGGAAGCUAACAAGGAGAACAGGUCUACAUGUGUUCAACGAAGAUAACGUCCCGACACUGUGUUUACAUUAAAACAGGACUUAGGUGAGCAUGUGAUGUCAAGACACCUUCUUUCUACCUGAGAGACAAUGACAUGUGACACUGAGGAGGAAAGUGUGUAGCUCAAGACCAGCAGACAAAUGAAAGCUUGUUAUCUCAUGUAGUGUGCAGAUGGACAGAGCAAGCCGGAGAAGCAGAUGAACUUCUGGUGUCUGUAGGCAGGCUUUACCUGCGUUAGUCUCCACAUACUUAGAGUCUGAUAUUGGGAUGAAUCUGCCUUUCCACUGAAUUUUCCUAGAAGACUUGCAUAGUUGAAGGCUGAAGAAUGGGCGCAGAGGCUGAGGGGAGUUACUCUUCAUCAAUGUCAGUGCGGGCACGGGCAAAGACUACAACACAUCCUUCUACAAAGACUGUUGCCAUUAGAAACAUGGAUAUAUUUUAUUGUAAGGCAAAUCAUUUAUUGUGAAUAUUCACUGGAUUCUACAAGAGUUUUGAUAAUCCCUGAACCCAAUGCGGUAAGAGCACAGAGGCUCACAAGCGAUUCGAGGAGAGAAAUUCUAGGCUAUUCCCCAGGAAACACUGGACUUAUUCCUUGCCAUCUUCCAUGUAAACAGAUGGUUUAGUUAUUAAAAAAGAAUACACAGG